rnacentral:snRNA from 1 species
AGCUGUGAGCAGUGGCAGUAUCGCAGCCAAUGAGGUUUACCCAAGGCACCAUUAUUGCUAAUCGAAAACUUUUCCCAAUCCCCCUUGAAAUAUAAUUGAUGAGUUGAAAUAUAAUUGACCUUGACGACUUGAAAUAUAAUUGGCAUUGGCAACUUUUGACAGUUUCUACAGAGA